GUACUCACUUCAGCAGCACAUAUACUACAACUGAAACAAUACUAAGGUUAUCAUGGCCCCUGCACAAGGAAGACAUGCAAAUUCAGGAAGCAUCCCAUGUUUUU